AUCCAGUUGAUGAGUCCCAAAUAGGACGAAACGCGCGUUCUGGAU
rfam:Schistosoma mansoni, Puerto Rico, WGS project CABG01000000 data, contig: 0150